GUAGGUGGCAAGCGUUGUCCGGAAUUAUUGGGCGUAAAGCGCGCGCAGGCGGUCCUUUAAGUCUGAUGUGAAAGCCCACGGCUCAACCGUGGAGGGUCAUUGGAAACUGGGGGACUUGAGUACAGAAGAGGAAAGCGGAAUUCCAAGUGUAGCGGUGAAAUGCGUAGAGAUUUGGAGGAACACCAGUGGCGAAGGCGGCUUUCUGGUCUGUAACUGACGCUGAGGCGCGAAAGCGUGGGGAGCAAACAGGGAUUAGAUACCCUGGUAGUCCACGCCGUAAGCGAUGAGUGCUAAGUGUUAGGGGGGUUUCCGCCCCCCUUAGUGCUGCAGCUAACGCAUUAAGCACUCCGCCUGGGAGUACGGCCGCAAGGCUG
rnacentral:rRNA from 1 species